GACGAACGCUGGCGGCGUGCCUAAUACAUGCAAGUAGAACGGUGAAGGAGGGGCUUGCUUCUCUGGAUGAGUUGCGAACGGGUGAGUAACGCGUGGGUAACCUGCCUGGUAGCGGGGGAUAACUAUUGGAAACGAUAGCUAAUACCGCAUAAGAGUAGAUGUUGCAUGACAUUUGUUUGAAAGGUGCGAUUGCUUGACUACCAGAUGGACCUGGGUUGUAUUGGCUAGUUGGGGGGGUAACGGCUCACCAAGGCAACGAUUCAUAGCCGACCGGGGAGGGGGGUAGCCGACCUUGGACGGUGACACGGCCCAGACGCCCACGGGAGGCAGCCGUAGGGAAGCGUGAGGAAGGGGCGGGAGACUGACCGAGAUACGCGGCGUCAUGGAAGAAGGUCUUCGGGUCGGAGAGCACGGUUGUAAGAGAAGAAAGAGUGUGAGAGUGGAAAGUUCACACUGUGACGGUAACUUACCAGAAAGGGACGGCUAACUACGUG
rnacentral:rRNA from 1 species